GGACCCAGGACUCAGGACCCAGGACCCAGGAUCCAGGACCCAGCCCCUGAACCCAGGACCCAGCCUGUGCCUACAUCUCGUGACCCCUCGCACCUCAGCACCAAAGGCUUUCCUGUCAGCUGGUGUUUCUCCCUCCCCCAGCCUGAGUGAAGGGUCUUCUGGUCCCCACAACUGAGUCACUGAUCCCAAAGGCACAUCCUGGGAGGAGAUAUUUUCAUCCAGAGUUGGUGUUCUGUACCAAGACCUCAGCCUACUCAGCAGGACUCUUUCCUAAAACCAGAGACUCUGGAUCCGGAGCCUCGCUGGCAGGAUGGGAUAUGAAGCAAGAUGAAUAAGCAAGCGGGGCCGCAUAUGCUCCAUGCAAAAUCAGCGCUCGGAUCAGGGUCUACCUGAGCCCGGAGGACGGAAGGUUGGCUCUGGGUGGGGCCGUUGCUUUGGGAAGAGCUCAGGACCAGGGAUUGUCCGGUGUCUCCAAUGGCGUGUGUGGCAUUAGAAAGGGCAUCCCGGCCCUGGGUCCUGGUGGCAUCAGCGUGACGUGGAGUCAGACAAGGGGGCUGCCUUCCGAGGUCCCUUCUGGCCCUGAUGGCCGCCCUCUGUAUGGCUUCUCUUCCAUCUCCCAUCUUCCUUCUGUCUGAAAUGGCUCAGGGCAGGGGGGGAUUAAAGGUUGAUCAAUUCUUGAA